UGGGGAAUAUUGGACAAUGGGGGCAACCCUGAUCCAGCAAUGCCGCGUGUGUGAAGAAGGCCUGAGGGUUGUAAAGCACUUUCAGUGGGGAGGAGGGUCGUUUGGUUAAGAGCUGAAUGAUUGGACGUUACCCACAGAAGAAGCACCGGCUAACUCCGUGCCAGCAGCCGCGGUAAUACGGAGGGUGCAAGCGUUAAUCGGAAUUACUGGGCGUAAAGGGUGCGUAGGUGGUUAGAUAAGUUAUCUGUAAAAUCCCUGGGCUUAACCUGGGCAGGUCAGAUAAGACUGUUUGACUCGAGUAUGGGAGAGGGUAGUGGAAUUUCCGGUGUAGCGGUGAAAUGCGUAGAGAUCGGAAGGAACACCAGUGGCGAAGGCGGCUACCUGGCCUAAUACUGACACUGAGGCACGAAAGCGUGGGGAGCAAACAGGAUUAGAUACCCGGGUAGUCCCUGAGCGGGC
rnacentral:rRNA from 1 species